GCCGGGCGUGGUGGUGCACACCUGUAGUCCCAGCCACUCGGGAGGCUGAGGCAGGAGAAUCACUUGAACCCGGGAGUCGGAGGUUGCAGUGAGCCAAUAUCGUGCCACUGCACUCCAGCCUGGGUGACGAAGUGAUACUCUGUCUCAA
ensembl:misc_RNA Metazoa_SRP Metazoan signal recognition particle RNA